UCUUGCCCAAACUUCACAUGUUUGAUAAGAGUCCUGGCCUGAACACAUCUGAAGGCCAAUAUUCCAUUGGCUGUGGCAAAAUGCCUCGAUAGCGCCACCUAUACAUUUUCAACGGAGUGCGCCUCGAGCUACGUUUCACGUACAUGUACAAAAAUCGGUACACACAUGUAACACACCAAUACCUACAAAAAAGUCUCUUGGUACAAAAUUCGAAUCCCAACAGGAAGUCAUUAUUUUGAAUUUUCUCUGCAAAAUUUGUGUCGUUUUUGCCAUUUUCAGGGGUUGUACUUUAACGAACUCCUCCUAGAGAUUUAUUCAGAUCAACACCAAACUUUGUCAGUGUAAUCUAAAGGACUUUGCGAUGUUAAAUUGCGAAGAUCUUGAGGUUUCGUUUAAGGGCGUGUCUGUGGCGGCUUUACAAAUUUCGAUGUUUCGCCAUGAGAAAGGAAGUUGCUAUAACUCAGACAUACAAUGUCCAAUCUGCCCCAAACUUCACAUG
ensembl:lncRNA